rnacentral:rRNA from 1 species
AUUGAACGCUGGCGGCAUGCCUUACACAUGCAAGUCGAACGGCAGCACGGGAGCAAUCCUGGUGGCGAGUGGCGAACGGGUGAGUAAUAUAUCGGAACGUGCCCAGUCGUGGGGGAUAACGUAGCGAAAGCUACGCUAAUACCGCAUACGAUCUAUGGAUGAAAGCGGGGGAUCGCAAGACCUCGCGCGAUUGGAGCGGCCGAUAUCAGAUUAGGUAGUUGGUGAGGUAAAGGCUCACCAAGCCGACGAUCUGUAGCUGGUCUGAGAGGACGACCAGCCACACUGGGACUGAGACACGGCCCAGACUCCUACGGGAGGCAGCAGUGGGGGAAUUUUUGGGACAAUGGGCGCAAGCCUGAUCCAGCAAUGCCGCGUGCAGGAUGAAGGCCUCGGUUGGUAACGUUAG